UACAGAGGGGGCAAGUGUUGUUCGGAAUUACUGGGCGUAAAGGGCGCGUAGGCGGCCUUCUAAGUCGAACGUGAAAUCCCUGGGCUCAACCCAGGAACUGCGUCCGAUACUGGAAGGCUUGAAUCCGGGAGAGGGAUGCGGAAUUCCAGGUGUAGCGGUGAAAUGCGUAGAUAUCUGGAGGAACACCGGUGGCGAAGGCGGCAUCCUGGACCGGUAUUGACGCUGAGGCGCGAAAGCCAGGGGAGCAAACGGG
rnacentral:rRNA from 1 species